GCAGCUGGAAACGGCUGGUAAUACCGCAUAAGCGCACAGUACCACAUGGUACAGUGUGAAAAACUCCGGUGGUAUGAGAUGGACCCGCGUCUGAUUAGCUAGUUGGCGGGGUAACGGCCCACCAAGGCGACGAUCAGUAGCCGACCUGAGAGGGUGACCGGCCACAUUGGGACUGAGACACGGCCCAGACUCCUACGGGAGGCAGCAGUGGGGAAUAUUGCACAAUGGAGGAAACUCUGAUGCAGCGACGCCGCGUGAGUGAAGAAGUAGUUCGCUAUGUAAAGCUCUAUCAGCAGGGAAGAUAGUGACGGUACCUGACUAAGAAGCUCCGGCUAAAUACGUGCCAGCAGCCGCGGUAAUACGUAUGGAGCAAGCGUUAUCCGGAUUUACUGGGUGUAAAGGGAGUGUAGGUGGCCAGGCAAGUCAGAAGUGAAAGCCCGGGGCUCAACCCCGGGACUGCUUUUGAAACUGCAGGGCUAGAGUGCAGGAGGGGCAAGUGGAAUUCCUAGUGUAGCGGUGAAAUGCGUAGAUAUUAGGAGGAACACCAGUGGCGAAGGCGGCUUGCUGGACUGUAACUGACACUGAGGCUCGAAAGCGUGGGGAGCAAACAGGAUUAGAUACCCU
rnacentral:rRNA from 1 species